CCAGCCCUUGCCUCAUCCACAACCAAAUUGUUGAAGUAAGUGAGCAAACGGGUGAGAGGGGAGCUGGGACAGAGAGAGAGCUAAAGAUCUUGGAGUUCUUGGAACCGAAGUCCAGACAGUAGCUACAUCAAGAGGUUGAUCGUUGUCGCAGCGGAGGAGGUGUUGGGAAAGAAAGUAUAUUAAGUUAGGCAAGAAAUGAGAUAGCUGAUAUAGUAUGUCUUCAUACAUAUUACACCGUCUUGGUACUCUUCCGCUGCGAGAAUCUAGACUUUGUUUUUAGAAAAGACAAUGCCCAGAAAUUACUUUGAUUCAGUAUGAUUGUACUCUCUUUCACAUUCAGACAAUGUUUUCUCUUGAAUUGAUUAUCCAUUUAUGAUGAUUUGAGAUUUUUAGUAA